AUGAACGCUGGCGGCGUGCCUAAUACAUGCAAGUCGAGCGAACGGACGAGAAGCUUGCUUCUCUGAUGUUAGCGGCGGACGGGUGAGUAACACGUGGAUAACCUACCUAUAAGACUGGGAUAACUUCGGGAAACCGGAGCUAAUACCGGAUAAUAUUUUGAACCGCAUGGUUCAAAAGUGAAAGACGGUCUUGCUGUCACUUAUAGAUGGAUCCGCGCUGCAUUAGCUAGUUGGUAAGGUAACGGCUUACCAAGGCAACGAUGCAUAGCCGACCUGAGAGGGUGAUCGGCCACACUGGAACUGAGACACGGUCCAGACUCCUACGGGAGGCAGCAGUAGGGAAUCUUCCGCAAUGGGCGAAAGCCUGACGGAGCAACGCCGCGUGAGUGAUGAAGGUCUUCGGAUCGUAAAACUCUGUUAUUAGGGAAGAACAUAUGUGUAAGUAGCUGUGCACAUCUUGAUGGUACCUAAUCAGAAAGCCACGGCUAACUACGUG
rnacentral:rRNA from 1 species